GCCUGGGUGGCUCAGUCGGUUGAGCGUCUGACUUCGGCUCAGGUCAUGAUCUCGCGGUUCGUGGGUUCAAGGCCCGCGUCGGGCU
rfam:Felis catus isolate Cinnamon breed Abyssinian chromosome A3, whole genome shotgun sequence.